GGGGAUGUAGCUCAGUGGCACAGCGCCUGCCUAGCAAGCAUGAGGCCCCGAGUUCGAUUCCUGGUACCA
rnacentral:tRNA from 1 species